UUCUUAGUUUGGGCGCAGUCUAUCUACUCACGCAAUGAAUGUAUAUAAGAAAUGGAAGAUAUCAUUGGAGCCAGGAGGCUAAUUUGCAUCGCCAGUGGUACCACACGAAAUGCUUUCGCAUCGGAAUCGGACUAAAUUUGAGCAUGAUCACAACAUUGGCCACCGAGAACCAACCGCUCGAGCGCUUCUGCCCUUGCAGGUGGCCAACUGCAGGACCAUAGGCUACAUCUUUAUCGGUGUGUCACAUUCAGGUCAAGGUGCACUGACAUGUUGUGUGGCCCAGUUUAUUUACAAAAAGAAGAGUGCUGCCAAGUGUACAAAGAUUUCUGCGCUGCUUAUGGACACAUUACCGGGGAAUGUCCCAAGUGUAUUAGUGGCGUAGGAUUGUGUGUGGGGGAGGGGGCUUAUGGAGCUCAGGAAGCCUGCCCAGUGUGGUCGACCAGAUGGUCCAGAGCAGACAUAAUUAAAUAUGAGUAAACAUAAGAAAGUUACUAUAUAUUUAUGAAACAGUUUCUUUUGUUUGCGGGCAACAAGGUCUGGCUCUCAGUAGUCAUCGGGAAAGUCGUCCUCUGGACUUAAGUGCCGUAAGCGCAGAAAACAGAAGCAGCUUCAAAGUGCUACAUCGCACGCGAGCUGAUUGUGGCGACAAAGCUCUGAAGGACCACCUGGAAAUCGUCCACAGUAAUACCUCGUACCUAAGCCUAGUGGGACAAAGCUAAAUUAUAGAAAUUUCUAGCUAAGUUAUCAAAAAAGUUUGCUUGCAAAAGCAAAUGCCACAGGCUGCUUAUUCGUAGUUUCCGACGAAAUGACAGAUACUGCUCGAAUCGAACAGCUUACCACUUGCGCAGUGUACCUGAACAAAGAGGCCAACAACGUUGAAGUGUCUAGGCUCUGUGCCUAUACAGGACUAAAGUGGCAGGGCCCUCACUGAAACAUUCUAAAAUUUCUCCGAGACCUGGGAAUUGCCAUGCAACAUCUUCAUGGCCAAGGUUGUGAUGGUACAAGCUCUAUGGGUUGUAAAACGAAUGGUUUUUAAGCCGGAGUUCGGCAAGUUAUCCAGCCACGCUAUAGACACAUCAGAACACCACCGCCCGAAGUGAAUGGGUGCGCCAUCGGAGCGCUCCGAAGCAUGUGCCCAAUUGAGGCAGUGAACUUGCAUUUAAAAAUAUCUAUAAUGUGCUGAUCAUACCCAUUUUUCCCUUCCUCUUGCUACUCGAGGAAAAUACCACAAUUAAUUUUUUUUUAUUAUUUUGUGGGUAUACAUGCCUAUUCUUCAAUUCAAAACUAUCUGUGCAGAAUGUGCGAUGAACUGCAACACUUUAAUGAAAGGCUUCUCUGCUUCACUCAGCUCUCACAUAUUGCUAUCACAAAGUGUCAUGCACCCGACUCAUGUUUAAUGCCAGGCUAGCCAAAUAACACAUCAGUGACUGAUACAUAACAGGAGAAAAGAAGUGCCACAAAGUUCAUUAUAAAGUACGAGAUAUUUCGCUGCAUAAGGAAUUACCAUUUGGUGCUUUUUGAUUGAAAUUGUUGAAGUACUUAUAUAGUUUUGUUCAGUAGUUGUAUUGCUUGCUCAUUAUGCAGAAACUGGCAAGGUGGUGAAGAGGCUACAAGAAAUCCUCAACAAAGUUGAGAGCAAGCCAGAAGAGCCAGUAAUUGCUUGCACAAAGAUUGACAUUGGUGGCGAGAUGCUGACUGAUAACAGCAUCUUCGAUCAGCUGAGCCGGGCCUGUGACAGUGGCAGAGGACCUGGCAAAUUUGCCAAGGCACUUUUGCGCCAAGUCUUUACUGACGGAAAAGUGAGCGCAUCUUGGUCAAUGAUGCCGGCCUCCCGAAGAUACGCAAACUGCUAGUGUCAUCCGGUCGUCACCAGGGCCACUGAGCUGCCGCCAAAACUCUUGGCCUGUCGGAUGCACAGCCGAUCCUGACCACGGUGGUCCAUGUGGCCAGUCUCAUGGAGCUUUGCCCCGUGCAGGGACUGGGAAAGAACUGUGGGGCCAUGCAUCUGUCAUUGGGUUUGUCAACGUAACAGCAGGUGAGCCUGUUCCUACUUACCUACUGCCACCGACAAAGUGCACUGCGCUAUCUGCCCCGGAAGCAAGAGACCCUUCCCGCACAAUAUUGUAAAUGUGGGCAUUUAGAGCGAGCAAAGGAGUGCCAGAAGUCCAAGACGGUAUUACGUCAGCAACCAGUGCAUGCCGCCGCGCGAGACCCACCUCGCCCCAUGCCGGAGGGGGGAUGUUUUAUGGCUUCGUGUGGUCAGCGAACAACGGGAUAAGGUUGCACCGGCCGACCUGGACUUCGG